rnacentral:rRNA from 1 species
UUUAUGGAGAGUUUGAUCCUGGCUCAGGAUGAACGCUGGCGGCGUGCCUAAUACAUGCAAGUCGAGCGAACAGACGAGGAGCUUGCUCCUCUGACGUUAGCGGCGGACGGGUGAGUAACACGUGGAUAACCUACCUAUAAGACUGGGAUAACUUCGGGAAACCGGAGCUAAUACCGGAUAAUAUAUUGAACCGCAUGGUUCAAUAGUGAAAGACGGUUUUGCUGUCACUUAUAGAUGGAUCCGCGCCGCAUU